GACGAACGCUGGCGGCGUGCCUAAUACAUGCCAGUAGAACGCACAGUUUAUACCGUAGCUUGCUACACCAUAGACUGUGAGUUGCGAACGGGUGAGUAACGCGUAGGUAACCUGCCUGGUAGCGGGGGAUAACUAUUGGAAACGAUAGCUAAUACCGCAUAAUAUUGAUUAUUGCAUGAUAAUUAAUUGAAAGGUGCAAUUGCACCACUACCAGAUGGACCUGCGUUGUAUUAGCUAGUAGGUGAGGUAACGGCUCACCUAGGCGACGAUACAUAGCCGACCUGAGAGGGUGAUCGGCCACACUGGGACUGAGACACGGCCCAGACUCCUACGGGAGGCAGCAGUAGGGAAUCUUCGGCAAUGGACGAAAGUCUGACCGAGCAACGCCGCGUGAGUGAAGAAGGGUUUCGGAUCGUAAAGCUCUGUUGUAAGAGAAGAACGGGUGUGAGAGUGGAAAGUUCACACUGUGACGGUAUCUUACCAGAAAGGGACGGCUAACUACGUG
rnacentral:rRNA from 1 species